rnacentral:rRNA from 1 species
AUACGGAGGGGGUUAGCGUUGUUCGGAAUUACUGGGCGUAAAGCGCACGUAGGCGGACUGGAAACUUGGGGGUGAAAUCCCGGGGCUCAACCCCGGAACUGCCUCCAAAACUUCCAAUCUAGAGAUCGAGAGAGGUGAGUGGAAUUCCAAGUGUAGAGGUGAAAUUCGUAGAUAUUUGGAGGAACACCAGUGGCGAAGGCGGCUCACUGGCUCGAUACUGACGCUGAGGUGCGAAAGCGUGGGGAGCAAACAGGAUUAGAUACCCUUGUAGUCC